CUACACACUCUAAAUCUUCUAUACACACUCUAGGUCCUACACACACACACACACAAAAUGUUCCUGAUAUACACAUUCUGAAUCCCCUAUGUCAACAUCAGAUCCCCUGUAAGCAAACACACACACUACAUUCCUUAAACCCACACACUUUACAACCCGUACGCAUCAUCUAUGUACACAUACACUACAGCCCCUAUGCACACACUCGCUAGAUCCCCUAUACACACACAUUCUUUCACUCUUUAUAGCCCUUAGACACACAUAUUACACCACAAACAUGACAACUAAAACCAACAUUUACAUAAAACACCACACCACAAUCAGCUCACACUACACACAUGCAAUGUCACAAGCAGGCUUCAAACACAUGCACAACACGAUUUCCUGGCACUUUUGUACUCUGGUAUCCCUCUUACGGAGACACCAGAGACAAGUCACAAGCAAACAGCACAAGCUUAU